CGUAAUCAACCUCGUUCCCAGGCUCUUUCCUCUUGUGGAGCAAAGAGGAAAGAGCCUGGGAACGAGGUUGUGCCGUAAU